rnacentral:ncRNA from 1 species
CUCUGAUUUCAAGGAUUUCAGGGCGGAAGGAG